GAUUCUCUUUUAUAUAGUUUAAAAAAACAUUAUAUUUUCAAUAUAAAAACAAAUAUUUAUUAUUUUAUAA
rnacentral:tRNA from 1 species